ACCAUGCCUGGUCCUAUAUUCCUUUUCAUUCCUGUCGAGCCAAGGAAAAUCAAGCUAAUUAACAUGUACAUUACUGAGAGGUGACAGCGUGCUGGCGGCCCUCACAGCCCUCGCUAGCUCUCGGCGCCUCCUCUGCCUGGGCUCCCACUUUGGCGGCACUUGAGGAGCCCUUCAGCCCGCCGCUGCACUGUGGGAGCCCUUUCCUGGCCUGGCUGAGGCCAGAGCCGGCCCUCUCAGCUCGCGGGGAGGUGUGGAGGGAGAGGCGCGGGCAGGAACUGGAGCUGCGUGCGGUGCUUGCGGGCCAGCGCGAGUUCCAGGUGGGUGUGGGCUCGGCGGGCCCUGCACUUGGAGCGCCUGACCGGCCCUGGGGCCCCGGGCAAUGAGGGACUUAGCACCCGGGCCAGCGGCUGUGGAGGGUGUGCUGGGUCCCCCAGCAGUGCCAGCCCACCAGCGCUGUGCUUGAUUUCUCACCGGGCCUUAGCUGCCUCCCCGUGGGGCAGGGCUCGGGACAUGCAGCCCGCUAUGACUGAGCCUAUCCCCCCACUCCCCGUGGGCUCCUGUGCCGCCCGAGCCUCCCCGACGAACGCUGCUCCCGGCUCCAC
rnacentral:lncRNA from 1 species